CCAGACUCCUACGGGAGGCAGCAGUGGGGGAUAUUGCACAAUGGGGGAAACCCUGAUGCAGCGACGCCGCGUGAGUGAAGAGGUAUUUCGGUAUGUAAAGCUCUAUCAGCAGGGAAGAAGAAAGACGGUACCUGAGUAAGAAGCCCCGGCUAACUACGUGCCAGCAGCCGCGGUAAUACGUAGGGGGCAAGCGUUAUCCGGAUUUACUGGGUGUAAAGGGAGCGUAGACGGUAUGGCAAGUCUGAAGUGAAAGCCCCGGGCUCAACCUGGGAACUGCUUUGGAAACUGUUAAACUAGAGUGCUGGAGAGGCAGGCGGAAUUCCUAGUGUAGCGGUGAAAUGCGUAGAUAUUAGGAGGAACACCAGUGGCGAAGGCGUCUUACUGGACCGAAACUGACGUUGAGGCUCGAAAGCGUGGGGAGCAAACAGGAUUAGAUACCCGAGUA
rnacentral:rRNA from 1 species